CUUGGGAACUUGGCCGCAUAGGAAUUGCGUGUAUAUGUAAAUAGUCGGUGCCUGCUGGACAUUGGGGCUUGUGUUUUGUUGCUCUUAGCGGAAAAAGUUUUUGUUUGCAGGCUCUGCGAGAGUUCUUUCAAAGUACUUUACGUCGGCCACAGGCGCAGCGCACAACAACAGCAACAACUUAAUUAAGUUUACAGCGUACAUUUUGUUGGGCUAGGACGUGAGUGGUGCUAUUUAGAGAACUUUAAAGCGUUGGCUAUGUUUAAAUUAGGUAGUUCGACCUUCACAUUUUAAACUGUUUUGGCAAGGAUUCGACAUUCAACUACAGGACAAUUUAUGCAGUACUACUGAUGAAAAAAGUUUAUUGAUUGAGAGUAUUUUCCUGGAAACAAAAAUUAAUGACCUGGAUCAUAAUUACAUAGUAUUCGGGCUACUUUAGCGGUCACAAUACACAAUGUUAACGAAAUAAAUUUCUAGAUACGACAGCUGUUGUCAGGCGAUCGGAGGUACAUAUUCUAAGGGGUGAUCCUUUCCAUUUACAGAAAAUUUCAUAUCGUACCGGUGAAUAUUUUCGAAGUUACACGCAAUUUGAAAGGGCGUUUCAGAGUGCCUGGAAGUGCAUUCCAAACUUAAAACGCGUUUUCUCAAAAUGGUGUUUUCAAAGUCGUUGACAGGAGCUUCUUUAAUAUAUUUUUCUAGUAA